rnacentral:rRNA from 1 species
AACGAACGCUGGCGGCAUGCCUAACACAUGCAAGUCGAACGAACCCUUCGGGGUUAGUGGCGCACGGGUGCGUAACGCGUGGGAAUCUGCCCUUUGCUUCGGAAUAACAGUUAGAAAUGACUGCUAAUACCGGAUGAUGUCUUCGGACCAAAGAUUUAUCGGCAAGGGAUGAGCCCGCGUAGGAUUAGGUAGUUGGUGGGGUAAAGGCCUACCAAGCCGACGAUCCUUAGCUGGUCUGAGAGGAUGAUCAGCCACACUGGGACUGAGACACGGCCCAGACUCCUACGGGAGGCAGCAGGGGGGAAUAUUGGACAAUGGGCGCAAGCCUGAUCCAGCAAUGCCGCGUGAGUGAUGAAGGCCUUCGGGUCGUAAGGCUCUUUUACCAGGGAUGAUAAUGACAGUACCUGGAGAAUAAGCUCCGGCUAACUCCGUGCCAGCCGCCGCGGUAAGAC